rnacentral:rRNA from 1 species
AAAGCCUGAUCCAGCCAUGCCGCGUGUGUGAAGAAGGUCUUCGGAUUGUAAAGCACUUUAAGUUGGGAGGAAGGGCAGUAAGUUAAUACCUUGCUGUUUUGACGUUACCAACAGAAUAAGCACCGGCUAACUUCGUGCCAGCAGCCGCGGUAAUACGAAGGGGGCUAGCGUUGUUCGGAAUUACUGGGCGUAAAGCGCACGUAGGCGGAUCGAUCAGUUAGGGGUGAAAUCCCGGGGCUCAACCCCGGAACUGCCUAUAAUACUGGCGAUCUGGAGUUCGAGAGGGGUGAGUGGAAUUCCGAGUGUAGAGGUGAAAUUCGUAGAUAUGCGGAGGAACACCAGUGGCGAAGGCGGCUCACUGGCUCGAUACUGACGCUGAGGUGCGAAAGCGUGGGGAGCAAACA